AGCGGACGCUGGCGGCAGGCCUAACACAUGCAAGUCGAACGAACCUUUCGGGGUUAGUGGCGGACGGGUGAGUAACACGUGGGAACGUGCCUUUAGGUUCGGAAUAACUCAGGGAAACUUGUGCUAAUACCGAAUGUGCCCUUCGGGGGAAAGAUUAAUCGCCUUUAGAGCGGCCCGCGUCUGAUUAGCUAGUUGGUUGAGGUAAUGGCUCACCAAGGCGACGAUCAGUAGCUGGUCUGAGAGGAUGAUCAGCCACAUUGGGACUGAGACACGGCCCAAACUCCUACGGGAGGCAGCAGUGGGGAAUCUUGCGCAAUGGGCGAAAGCCUGACGCAGCCAUGCCGCGUGAAUGAUGAAGGUCUUAGGAUUGUAAAAUUCUUUCACCGGGGACGAUAAUGACGGUACCCGGAGAAGAAGCCCCGGCUAACUUCGUG
rnacentral:rRNA from 1 species